rnacentral:tRNA from 1 species
GGCCCCUUCAUCUAAUGGUUAGGAUACUGCCCUUUCAAGGCAGCGAUACGGGUUCGAAUCCCGUAGGGGUCACCA